GUGAGGCCGUUGAAGACAUGGCGGGCCCGUUACUGAAGCCGUUAGGAGUGGAUGGAGCACCGUUCAGCGAUGUAGGAGAGUGGCUGCUCCCAUUCAGCACUGCAGAUAAACAGACAGAAGGAAGAGACAACGUGAAUUGGGCAGCGCUUGUGUUCUGGCUUUUGAGAGAGGGAGAGGUGCAAGGAGAGAGCUACACUGCUGACCGCCUGCCACAACAGGUGAAACAACAUGGCCUGUCAUUGCUAUAUAGGGAAGAAAGUAGUCUACACACCGCAACACCACCCUGGCUGAUCUCCCCUGUAUCCACCGCCGCCUGACCAGCUGCUGCUGGAACCAGAUCCUUCUGCGAUGUAAACCUGAGCUGAGAGCUGUCUCUUAAUGUAUCACAGCAGAAAAGGAAAAAAACGCAAUGUAAUAAAACCAUGUACUUCAGAAACUUAGCAGCCAGCAAUGGCAGAUUUAGAUACAGGUGACAUGGGCAGCCGCCAGGAAAAACUACCAAAUAUGCCACAAUUCAUUCAUAAUACUGGGAAAUCGUUAAGAAUAAUAAACUAGU